ensembl:lncRNA
GACUGCUGCUCCAAAGAAGCCACAUCCUGGAAGGUCCUGUAAUCCUGAUGGAGAAGAGGAGAAGCCAGGCUAACUCCAGGGACUAGAUACAAGACAGCUCCUCCUUCUGCUUUUUGACUUAACUCUGGCUUCUUCAGAGGAAAGGCCUUUUUCCCUGCUUACAUCAUCAACAAUCCUAGCCAAGAGAAGAUCUUUCAUUCAUAUCGGAUCUGUGAUAAUGCAGAACGGAGGAGCUUCCUCAUUGUAGUAAGAUCUGUGAUGCCAGAGAGGGGAGGAAGCUGAUUUCUUUGGAGACAUUGAGUGCCCUCCUAUGAAAUGUUUCUUCCGCCAUUGUAACUGAACUGACAAAGGACAGUACCAGAACAUGCAUAAGAAUAUUCAGUAAUUAAUCUUUGGAGACACCUAUGCAAUGGAUCCAAUUCAAGAUAAGGCGGAUUCUUCACUGGUCCUGUCCUAUAGCCCAGGAAAGAGCUUGGACAAAGCCACUGCAAUGAUUUCUUAGUGAAGACCAGAAAAUCCUUCUUCUUCAGCUUCUCAAAUGCAUCUGAGGGCCUCUGUGUGUACUUCUAGGACAGAAUUCUGUGAAGCUCAGCGAGUAUUUGUCAUGUGGAUGGGCCCUGCAUGAGAGGUGUACAGCACUGGGAAAGUGAAAUAGAAAGAACUAUAUGACAAAGGAGUUCUGACACGGUCUUUCCAAGACAGGUGCCCAUCAUUCCACAGUGUUCCUCAUUGGGGAACACAGGCUAUCUGGCUGUGCAGCUUCGGUGUGCUGAGGUCUGCACACAGUUCAGUCACCUGUCCUCAAUCACAUGGAGAAUUGAGGUUCCCAAUGCCAGGGCAGCUGCUCUCUGGACAUCGUUCUUCCUGAUGGAUUUACUGACCCCCAGGCAGCCUCACUGGGUUUCUCUGGUGGCUCAAACUGGAAAGAAUCUGCCUGCAAUACAGGAGACCUGGGUUCGAUCGCUGGGUCAGGAAGAUCCCCUGGAGAAGGGAAUGGCAACCCACUCCAGGAUUGUUGCUUGGUGAAUCCCAUGGACAGAGGAGCUGUGGACUACAGUCCAUGGGGUCACAAAGAGUGGGACAUGACUGAGCCUCCCUCAGGCAGCCUCAUUACUUUUUGGUGACACACUUUGAGCUUUCCACCAACCAUUGUGGCUGGAGGUCAUCCAUGCCUUUCUACCAGACUCUAGCUCUGUAAGCUUUGAAGGUGGACACUUGCUCUCCCUGGAUCUUCUCCAAAUGCUCCAGGGCCUGCUGGUGUUCGUUCUGGACCUCUCAUCCCCUGGCAAGCAUUCGCUUCAUCCAUCAAAAAAAAUCCGGGAUAGCAGAGCACCCUGAGGACUUGCUUU